rnacentral:rRNA from 1 species
CUGGGCUUGACAUGUGCCUGACCGCCCUGGAAACAGGGCUUCCCUUCGGGGCAGGUUCACAGGUGGUGCAUGGCUGUCGUCAGCUCGUGUCGUGAGAUGUUGGGUUAAGUCCCGCAACGAGCGCAACCCCCGUCGUAUGUUGCCAGCAUUUAGUUGGGGACUCAUGCGAGACUGCCGGUGACAAACCGGAGGAAGGUGGGGAUGACGUCAAGUCAUCAUGCCCCUUAUGUCCAGGGCUACACACGUGCUACAUUGGCGCGUACAGAGGGCUGCGAUACCGCGAGGUGGAGCGAAUCCCUCAAAGCGCGUCUCGGUUCGGAUUGCAGGCUGAAACUCGCCUGCAUGAAGGUGGAGUUGCUAGUAAUCGCGGAUCAGCAUCGCCGCGGUGAAUACGUUCCC